GAGACAGAGUCCAGGCUGACCCUCACAAUCCCGAGCGCUGUGAAAAGGUUUUGUAUUUCCAAGCCAGGAAGCAGGGGCUUUGAAUACUUGUCCUGACUGUUCUUUGGACAGGCCUCAUUAAUUUGGGUGGGUCUCCUGCCCUUCUAGGGCCUCAUUUUCCAUUUCUAAUUGGAAGUACUACUGCUGGCACUCUCCAAACCUAUCACCCAUGCUCACUCGAAGAGGCUGUCACUCUAGUUAGUGUGCAGCAUUCCCAGGCUCUUUGCCAUGGAGGUGGUCUCACUGACUGAGGAGGGGGCCCACAGUUGCUCUGAAGCUAGGGCUUUCCACGAUGGUCGGCUCAGGGCCCCUCCACCCACAGGCCUUGCUCCCCUCCCCCAUGUUCUGUCCAACUCUGCAGCCUUGAGGAGGUUGAAGGUCCUCUCCGGCUCUUCACACAAACCAAGGCCUCCUGGGGAUGAGGUGCUACGUGCCUGACAGCAGAACAGUUCUGCAGACCCGGCAUUUUGGUGAGGAAGCCCCCUCCCCGCAUACGGGCACAGGAGUAGGGGGCUGACCCCGGAGCUACUAGAGGUUAUGAAGCCAGGGCAGGGGUAGUGAGGACAGUCAGGGCGCUGAGUGUGAAAGUGAGGGGUGUGCGUACCGCGCGGGCUCAGGGGAGGUGUGUAAACAGCGGGUUGAGCCGCGUGUGUGCACACGCGGGCGGGCGUGUGGGGCGCGAGGCGAUGCGCAGUGCGCGGAGUGGCUGGGCCGGUCAGUGGAGCCCGGCGUGCGCUGAGCCUGGCGUUCGUGUGCAAGCGCGGCCAGGGUGCAGACGCGCGGAGUGUGCGGGCCCCAGGUCCAGGGCGCGGGGAGGGGGAGGCGUGCGUCUGCGCGCAGGGAGCGUACCCCGCCGCGCGCCGGGGUCGGCCGGGUCUUGCUAUGUGGCCAAGGCUGUCCUCAAAUUCCUAGAUUUGAGUGAUUUUCCUGCAUCAGCUCCUGGCUAGCUGGGUCUGAAGGUCACCCCAACCCAGUUAGAAGACAGCUUGGCCAUCAUCCACCCCUCAGCGCCUGAACCUCCGCAUAGGCAGUCUCCAAUCCCCUCUCCUGAGCCUGCAUCAGGAGGAGCCUGCUGACUCACAGACUUUUGAGAUGUGCCGGGCUGAAUCACUGGCCUGUGUAUGCAUCAAGCACACAGCUGCAGAACACUCCUACUAAAUUUGUAAUCUUCAGACACUCUCUCCCAUCCACUAAGAAAAGAAAAUACAUAUUCCUAUCCUUCCUCCCUACUACCUCCUGACUUCCUCACCUGGCCAGUGCUCUCACCUUUCAGCACCUCAGCUCUGGGAAUGACUCCUCCCAGAGCCCUCUGGGCUGGGUAAGGUGGGUGCCCCCUCUUCAGGUCUCCAAAGCCCAUGGAGUACCAGCACACACACGUGCUUUCCCCCAGCAGACCAGGCAUUCCUUGAAGGUACGAACUACACUGUUUUCAUCUGUGCCCCCAGGACCCGACAGUAUAAAUACCUGGUGUUAAAUACAGGAGACUAUUAGUUGUGCACUGUUGUGUGACAAAUUACUUGUAGGGUGAGAAGUGCAGGCCAAGGGACCAGGCUGCAUUGCCUUUUCCUCCUUCUCCUGUGGUUCUAACCACUAUUUUUUGAGCAUUUGCACAGGUUCUGGAGCUAAUCCCUCUGUUAAUAUCACUUAAACCUGGUAGUUUAAAUGAGAUUUAGUGGCUUAAAACAAACUUAGUGACUUAGGCAAGUACACGUUUAUUAUUUCAGUUUCUGUGGGACCAGAAUCAGACAUGGCUUAGCAGGACUCUGGCUUAGAGUCUCUCCAGGCUACCACAAAGGCCUUUUCCAGGUCCUGCUGCAGGCGGAUGGGCUUCCAAGCUCACCCUUGCCAUUCGUAACAGAAUUCCCCUACCCUCAGCUUGCUGGACUGGGCUGAGUUGGCUGUUGCUCCUUCAACCUCUCCAAAGCGUAGUUUACAGCAUGGCAGCUGUCUUCAAUCAGAGUGAGCAAGAGAGCAGGCCAGAGAGAGGAAACAAGACAGAAGCCAGAAUCCCCAGGGACUUAAUCUCGGAAGUGACAGCCCAUCAUUUCUGCUGUAUUCUAUUUCUUCGGAGCAGCCAGUCAUUAGGUGCAGCCUAGCCUCAAGGGGAGGGGGUCACACAAAGAUGUGAACACCAGCAGGCUGGGGUCACUGGGAACAUCUCUGAGAGUGCCUGGCACAAAGACCUGGGCUUCCAAAUCCCACCUCACUGCCUGAGUUUAAAGCUUUGUUCUUUCACAUGCUGGCCAUGUGCCUUGGGAAGUGGCUCAAACUCAUGCUCCUAAACUUUC